AGUUCUGAUGCACCGCGAAACGAAUUUGCAGGUGGAGAACGAGGAGACAAUCGAGGCACAAAGUGCCCGGACCCCAAAGCGCUGUUGGACGGAAUCCAACAGCGCUUUUUC
rfam:Burkholderia vietnamiensis G4 chromosome 1, complete sequence.